rnacentral:rRNA from 1 species
AACGAACGCUGGCGGCAUGCCUAACACAUGCAAGUCGAACGGGACCUUCGGGCCUAGUGUCGCACGGGUGCGUGAAGCGGGGGAACAUGCCCUUGGAUUCGGACUAACUCCCCGGAAGGGGUGCUGAUACCGGGUAAUGUCUUCGGACCAAAGGUUUGUUGACUUUGGGUGGGCUAUCGUUGGACUAGCUAGUGGGUAGGGUAAGAGCGUACCACGGCGACGAUCCAUACCUGGUCUGAGAGGAUGAGCAGCCACACUGGGGGGGAGACACGGCCCAGACUCCUACGGGAGGCAGCAGAGGGGAAUACUGGACAACGGGCGAAAGCAUGAGCCAGCAAUGCCGCGUGAGUGAUGAAGGCCGUAGGGUUGUAAAGCGCUUUUACACGGGAUGAGAAUGACAGUACCGGGAGAAUAAGCACCGGCUAACUACGUG